UCCGAUUUAUGAUCGGCAGUCUCGUUAGAGUUCCCGGCCGAACCGCUGGUAACUAACGAUAGGGGUUGCGCUCGUUGCGGGACCUAACCCAACAUCUCACGACACGAGCUGACGACAGCCAUGCACCACCUGUCAUGGGCCCUUUCGGACACCGUAUCUCUACGGCUUUCCCAUGAUGUCAAACCCAGGUAAGGUUCUUCGGGUCGCAUCGAAUUAAACCACAUGCUCCACCGCUUGUGCGGGCCCCCGUCAAUUCCUUUGAGUUUCAGCCUUGCGGCCGUACUCCCCAGGCGGGGCACUUACUGCGUUAGCGACGGCACCGGGAGGGUCGCUCCCCCCGACGCCUAGUGCCCAUCGUUUACGGCGUGGACUAC
rnacentral:misc_RNA from 1 species